rnacentral:rRNA from 1 species
UACGUAGGGGAGAGCGUUGUCGGGAUUUACUGGGCGUAAAGGGUGAGUAGGCGGUUAUAUAUGUCAGGUGUAAAAAGCUAUGGCUUAACCAUAGUAAGCACUUGAAACUGUAUGACUUGAGUGCAGGAGAGGUAAGCGGAAUUCCUAGUGUAGCGGUGAAAUGCGUAGAUAUUAGGAGGAACACCGGUGGCGAAGGCGGCCUACUGGACUGUAACUGACGCUGAGUCACGAAAGCGUGGGUAGCAAACAGGAUUAGAUACCCUGGUAGUCCCU